UUUUCGAAGGGUUUGAUCCUGGCUCAGAAUGAACGUUGGCGGCGUGGAUUAGGCAUGCAAGUCGGACGGGCCGCAAGGCCAGUGGCGCAAGGGUGAGUAAGGCGACGGUAACCUACCCCAUGAUCGGGGAUAGCCGCGGGAAACCGCGGGUAAUCCCCAGCGACGUCGCCGGGGGGCAUCCCCCGGCGACCAAAGCCCCGGCGUCGUGGGAC
rnacentral:rRNA from 1 species